rnacentral:lncRNA from 1 species
AUGGGCUAAAGUUACAUGAGACUCUUAAAAAAAAAAAAUCAGCGGGGUUGGGGAUUUAGCUCAGUGGUAGAGCGCUUGCCUAGCAAGCUCAAGGCCCUGGGUUCAGGCCCCAGCUCCGAAAAAAAAAAAAAAAAUCAGCAAACCCUCAAAAGUAAAUAAAUAUAAAAAUAAAAUUCGGCUUUUUAAUAAGUAAAGAUCACAGCCCAGUCUUCCAACAGCAUCUGGGAGUCCUUGGCUAGUCCUGAGUCACUGGCCAACCCAGGGCCAACCUGGUUCCUGUUUCAUCUGCAAAAUGGACCUGGAGAUGUGAGAAAGAGACAGUGAGAAGCUGAUUCCUGGGGUCUUUUUGUUAACUGCCAAUAUUAGCUUAGCCUCUGCUUCCUUAAGGAAGAGCCCACUAACUGCUCUGCCUAUGCCCUCCCACCCUCUCAGUUCUUGAGACCCACCACCUCCCCAUCAGCCUAAGGGUGUACUAGUAGAUCCAGAGGUGGGACCGGAGGGCAAGCUAAGUCACGCCUCCAGCAACCUAUUGGUUGCUUUUGAACGUUCUGAACCCGCCCUGGGUCCGCCCUUAUAAAAGGCUGGCCCCAGAGCUGAGCCUACUCAUUGUACAACCUUUCUCCAACUGCUUGCUCUCUUCUAACACCCUGUUCUCAGACUCCUCCGCGCCUCUCCGCCUGUCCUCAGGAUCAUGAAGGUCGCCAGUAGCAGUGCCGCGGCCACCGCAGGCCCCAGCUGUUCGCUGAAGGCAGGCAGGACGGCGGGCGAAGUGGUGCUUGGUCUGUCGGAGCAAAGCGUUGCCAUCUCGCGCUGCGCUGGGACGCGCCUGCCCGCCUUGCUGGACGAACAGCAGGUGAACGUUCUGCUCUACGACAUGAACGGCUGCUACUCACGCCUCAAGGAGCUGGUGCCUACCCUGCCUCAGAACCGCAAAGUGAGCAAGGUGGAGAUACUGCAGCAUGUUAUCGACUACAUCAGGGACCUGCAGCUGGAGCUGAACUCUGAGUCUGAAGUCGCGACCGCCGGAGGCCGGGGGCUGCCCGUCCGGGCCCCGCUCAGCACCCUGAACGGCGAGAUCAGUGCCUUGGCGGCCGAGGUGAGGUCCGAGUCAGAGUAUUACAUUAUUCUCCUGUGGGAAACUAAGGCCACGGGAGGGGGGUGUCCCCCUUACUUCUCAGGAGCAUAGUUAUUUAGGGGCGACCAAUAGGAAAAAGCUCGCGCUUUCAUCGUGCCUCCUGGAGUAGAGAAGUGGGAAUGCCUCUCCCCUCCAGUUCUUUCCAGUGGGUCUCAUGCCUUAUCUCGCUCUGGUGUUCACAGGCGGCAUGUGUUCCAGCCGACGACCGCAUCUUGUGUCGCUGAGGCGGCGCACUGAGGAACCAGAUGGACUCCAGCCCUUCAGGAGGCAAGAGGAAAAAAAGUGCUCUCGGUUCCCCAGAGCAACCCGGGGAAAGACACUACCGCGGCCACGGGACUCUUGACGGAUCUGUCCAGGGGGUAGAGGGUUGAUCAACGGAGUCUCGCCCUCUCCACCUUUCAGCCUCCAGAGACUUUGAGGAGGGGGUUAUUCAACCCCGUGUGUUUCUGUUUUUUUGAAAAAGCAGACAUUUUUUUUAAAUGGUCACAUUUCGUGCUUCUCAGAUUUCUGAGAAAAUGUUUUGUAUUGUAUAUUACAAUGAUCACUGGCUGAGAAUAUUGUUUUACAAUAGUUCUUAUGGGGGUGGGUUUUUUGUUGUUAUUAAACAAACACUUUAGAUAAC